rnacentral:rRNA from 1 species
GUGCCAGCAGCCGCGGUAAUACGUAGGGGGCGAGCGUUGUCCGGAAUCACUGGGCGUAAAGGGUGCGUAGGCGGCCCUGCAAGUCAGGUGUGAAAGGCAUCGGCUCAACCGAUGUGAGCACUUGAAACUGUAGGGCUUGAGUGCAGGAGAGGAGAGCGGAAUUCCUAGUGUAGCGGUGAAAUGCGUAGAUAUUAGGAGGAACACCAGUGGCGAAGGCGGCUCUCUGGACUGUAACUGACGCUGAGGCACGAAAGCGUGGGUAGCGAACAGGAUUAGAUACCCUGGUAGUCCACGCCGUAAACGAUGAGUGCUAGGUGUUGGGGGGUUAGACCUUCAGUGCCGCAGUUAACACAUUAAGCACUCCGCCUGGGGAGUACGGUCGCAAGACUGAAACUCAAAGGAAUUGACGGGGACCCGCACAAGCAGCGGAGCAUGUGGUUUAAUUCGAAGCAACGCGAAGAACCUUACCAAGACUUGACAUCCUCCGGACGGCUCUGGAGACAGGGCUUUCCCUUCGGGGACUGGAGAGACAGGUGGUGCAUGGUUGUCGUCAGCUCGUGUCGUGAGAUGUUGGGUUAAGUCCCGCAACGAGCGCAACCCUUGCCUUUAGUUGCCAUCAGGUAAAGCUGGGCACUCUAGAGGGACUGCCGGCUAAAAGUCGGAGGAAGGUGGGGAUGACGUCAAAUCAUCAUGCCCCUUAUGUCUUGGGCUACACACGUGCUACAAUGGCCGGUACAGAGGGCAGCGAACCCGUAAGGGGGAGCGAAUCCCAAAAAGCCGGUCCCAGUUCGGAUUGUGGGCUGCAACUCGCCCACAUGAAGCUGGAGUUGCUAGUAAUCGCGAAUCAGAAUGUCGCGGUGAAUGCGUUCCCGGGUCUUGUACACACCGCCCGUCACACCAUGAGAGUCGGCAACACCCGAAGCCAGUGG